rnacentral:rRNA from 1 species
UACGUAGGGCGCGAGCGUUGUCCGGAAUUAUUGGGCGUAAAGAGCUCGUAGGCGGCUGGUUGCGUCUGCUGUGAAAUCCCGGGGCUUAACCCCGGGCGUGCAGUGGAUACGGGCCGGCUGGAGGCAGGCAGGGGAGAAUGGAAUUCCCGGUGUAGCGGUGAAAUACGCAGAUAUCGGGAGGAACACCGGUGGCGAAGGCGGUUCUCUGGGCCUGUACUGACGCUGAGGAGCGAAAGCGUGGGGAGCGAACAGG